UACGUAGGGUGCGAGCGUUAAUCGGAAUUACUGGGCGUAAAGCGUGCGCAGGCGGUUAUGUAAGCCAGAUGUGAAAUCCCAGGGCUCAACCUUGGAACUGCAUUUGUGACUGCAUCGCUGGAGUGCGGCAGAGGGGGAUGGAAUUCCGCGUGUAGCAGUGAAAUGCGUAGAUAUGCGGAGGAACACCGAUGGCGAAGGCAAUCCCCUGGGCCUGCACUGACGCUCAUGCACGAAAGCGUGGGGAGCAAACAGG
rnacentral:rRNA from 1 species